rnacentral:piRNA from 1 species
UGGGAGCGCUCUCUCCUGGGUGACUGGU